GGGUGGAUGGGAGGRGCUGGGACUUCACUAACCUGAUUAACCAGGUUAGAAACCAACCUUGCAAAAAUCGAAGCCAUCGCUGCAACCUCCCCCCACCCUCCGAGGGCAGGACUGGUCCCGGGUGGAUGUGAGAGGACGAGCUGGGUUGGAAAUCACCCCCCGACCUCGUGUCGCCCCCCUGCUCUCAUCCUGCAUCCCCGCGCGGCGCAGAGAGGAGCCCGGAGCAGCGGCGAGGUGGGAUGCGACUCUCCCUCGGCGGGCACCGUGCCUCCGGCUCCCRGGAGCGGGGCGAGCGGCGAGGGCGGGCGGCAGGGCCGGCGAGCCGGGCGCCGCGGCGAGGAUGAAAACAUGGGCCUUAAGUUAUCCUGCCUGAAAGGCUUGAAGACGUGCGUGAGUGGCAGGAACAGCGGGAACGGCGGGCGGCAGGCGGCGGCGGCGGGCGACGACAAGCACCUGCGGGUCCCCGCCAUCAUCGUCACGCCGCCCACCCCCACGGGCACGACGCUGGUGCGGGAGCCCCGGCGAGCUGGCGCCGAGCCGCCGUGCAGCGGGAGCUGAGCACCGCGCCGGGAUCAGGGACGCCGGGGGCAGGCGACCAGCCCGCCGGGACCUUUCCCACGGCCGGCGCUCCGCCAGGAUGGAGCCGGCAGCCCCGCGGUGCGAGCCGGGAUCGUCCGGGGUGAAGAGGUCCCGGGAGCACGGCGAUGCCCCGGGCGGCACGGGGAAACCGCAGCGUUUCCCAAAAGCGGAUGAGCACCUUUAAAACGGGUCGUUUCCGAGCAGGCUGGGACAUUGAGGACUGUUUUUUUCCUCCUCUUUUCUAAACACACUGCAAAGGGGUUUCCAAAGCGCGGCUCUUUGGCAGUGAAUAAAGCGCUCAGCGCCGUGCA
rnacentral:lncRNA from 1 species